rnacentral:snoRNA from 1 species
GGUCAAUGAUGAGAAGUAAAAGGUCUGAUUGCACUGAUUUAUUUUUCCCAACAAACCUAUCAAGCUCCCAGCAGCUUUCUGAUCCCAUCAAGUACUAGUGAUGCUCUGAUUGGUUUAACAAUCUGCUGACAUAUUUGGGUGCCUGCAAACCUACCUUGUUCGAGAUGUGUUCUUUGUGGGUGUUCUGGUAACCUUACAUGUCUCUAUAAAUAAGGAGUUAGGGGUGUGGGUUAAAAUACAAGCAGUGCAUGAUCUGAAGUUUUCAAGCUGAGACC